GGCCGCGGGAAUUCGAUUCAGGCCUAACACAUGCAAGUCGAGCGAAUGAAAUUCCUUCGGGAACGGAUUUAGCGGCGGACGGGUGAGUAACACGUGGGCAACCUGCCUCAUAGAGGGGAAUAGCCUUCCGAAAGGGAGAUUAAUACCGCAUAAGAUUGUAGUACCGCAUGGUACAGCAAUUAAAGGAGCAAUCCGCUAUGAGAUGGGCCCGCGGCGCAUUAGCUAGUUGGUGAGGUAACGGCUCACCAAGGCGACGAUGCGUAGCCGACCUGAGAGGGUGAUCGGCCACAUUGGGACUGAGACACGGCCCAGACUCCUACGGGAGGCAGCAGUGGGGAAUAUUGCACGAUGGGGGAAACCCUGAUGCAGCAACGCCGCGUGAGUAAUGGCGGCCUUCGGGUUGUAAAGCUCUGUCUUCAGGGACGAUAAUGAC
rnacentral:rRNA from 1 species